GACGAACGCUGGCGGCGUGCUUAACACGUGCAAGUCGAACGGGAUCCAAAGGCUUUUUGUUUUUGGUGAGAGUGGCGAACGGGUGAGUAACACGUGAGUAACCUGCCCCCUUCUUUUGGAUAACCGCAUGAAAGUGUGGCUAAUACAGGAUAUUCCAGGCUGGUCGCAUGAUUGGUUUGGGAAAUGGUUUGGUCUGGUGGGGGAUGGGCUCGCGGCCUAUCAGCUUGUUGGUGGGGUGAUGGCCUACCAAGGCGGUGACGGGUAGCCGGCCUGAGAGGGUGGGCGGUCACACUGGGACUGAGAUACGGCCCAGACUCCUACGGGAGGCAGCAGUGGGGGAUUUUGCACAAUGGGCGCAAGCCUGAUGCAGCGACGCCGCGUGAGGGAUGAAGGCCUUCGGGUUGUAAACCUCUUUCGCUGGGUUGAAAGGCCAUGCUUUGGGUGUGGUUGAUUUGAACUGGUAAAGAAGUACCGGCUAACUACGUG
rnacentral:rRNA from 1 species